CCAGCUUCCUAUAAAAUCUUUUCAAAGCGAACACAGUGUACCAUUUAAGCGCAGGCUGGCAGAGCCCACAGCUGUCCCCUGCACACACGCCCUGCCCCCGAACAGCUGCAGCUUCGCCUCAGAUCUGUGGCUGGACUCGCUUGCAGCUGAGGAUUUUUGCACGGCCACCGGUGAUGCACCCAUGGGGAAACGCCCUCCAGCCUUCAUGUUGAUCCCUAACCGUAACAUGAAUAGUUCACAGAUGAUUCACUCGGACUCUUUCCAACGCAUGAUGUUGGCCUCUUCCUAUUACUGACUCAGCCUUGCCUGUUACGCGAAAUUCCUGACAAUGUCAAUGGGUCUUUGAAAAGCAGCUGUAAAGAUCUGAAGAAUUUGAUCUACUCAGCUAAUUUAAAUGGGCUGGCCAGUUUGGUUUCAGACAUUACUUCCUGUACAAUUAUCACCCAACUUAUUCAUAAACAUUAAUCAUGUUUAUACGUUUGUUUCAAUUAGAUCUCAUAAAGAAAUUUUAAAGUGCCACAAUCUAUUAGUAUGUGGCAGUAAUGACAGUACCUUCUAUAAACAAUCUGAUAAUUCUUAAACAAAAUAUAAAGUAAGUUUUGAGUUGAAAUUACCAACAUUUUAGGAAGAUUUUUUUCUAUGUAUUUCUAUUAAUGCAAUAUUUCACAAAGUCAGAGGUGUAAAAUUAUAAAUACUCAUUAUUGUACAAUAGGAAAGUAUUGCAGUAAUGUGCAUGCACUGGUGUUCUGGAGGAAUAACCUCUGACUUCUCAGGAAGAACAUUUCAUUUUUAUUGCCAACAUCAGCAACAUGACACUAUAGUGUUUUAGUAUUUCCUGAUUUAGCAAUUUUACUGCUUAGCUUCAGAUGUUGACAUUAACAUUUUUAAAAAUCCCAAUUUACCUCAAACGUUUUGCUAUUUUGGUUAAUCUUGUUUCAGUAAAAUAUUUCAAGUGUUGAAAUGCACAUACUGCAGGACUUACUUUUAAGGAGGACAUUUACAAACAUGUCUCUAAAUCUAAAAAUGUUCCCUAUGUAAACCAAGGUUGUGUUUAUUUAGUGUCUGUAAAACUAUUUCCACGCAUUUGACAUGCAAGUGAAAUCUCAUGUAAAAUUAGCAGGCUUCUCCUUUAAGAGAACAAGAUACAUAGCGCAGUGGAUACUUUAGUAAGAAUACUUAUUCACUAUUGCCCAAUAUCUCUUAUUUGAUCAUGAUUAGGAAUGAUGAGAGAUUCAAGAACAUUUUAAGAACCUAAUCUAGGAUUUUUUUGUUAAACCAAAGAAUUAGAAAUUGUCUCUCCUCUUUUAUAUUAUCUUUCACUUUUUUUUAGAAAGACAUUCUCAAUGAAAAAUACUUUUUGAUUGUUUCAGCUCUCUGUCUGUCUUAUUUGUGCUGUUCUUAAGAUUUUAGAAGCAAAUCUUUAAGUUUCUUUGCUGUAAGUUUUGUUUACGCUCACUUAACUUGAACCAGACUGAAACAUGUUAUCAGCCAAAUUACUGACAAGUCCUAUCAAAACAAAACAUGCUCAUGUUAGCAUAGGAUUUAAUUAAUGAUUUUGUAUCUUCUCUUUUUCUUCACAUAUUCUCAUAUUGAACCACACAAGUCUUAUUCUUAAUUCUUCUUUUAAGAUACUCCGCUUAGGUAGAUCUUGGUUUAACCUUCUUUGUCUUUAUCAGAACAGCCUUAUUUAUUAAAUUUUUUUGUGGUGUAGAUUCAAAAUGUCGGAAACAUUCUUCAGAGAUUUUGGUUCACAUUAAUAAGACAGCACCAUGAAAGAUUUGCAGAUUUGUCUACACCUGAAUCUCCCAUUCCACAAAAUCCCAAAGGUGCUCUGUUAAUUUUUAAAACCCUUCUAUGAGAACUCGAAAGAUGGUUGUUUGAAAAUCACAAUUUCUAAAAUACCAUCAACCAUUCCAUGUUCAGAGUCACCUAUGUUUACCACUCUAAAUCUGUUUUUACCACCAUCACCAUGUCUAGAUGCCAAAAGACAUACAGUUGCUGAAAAGGGAUUGGCUGCCUAACAAGGCCAGGGUGUACUUAAUAAAGUGGGUGUUGCACAUGCUGUAAGACAUACUGGGUGUUACAUUACUUAAACUCUCUGUCACAGAGCUCCAUUAACAUGCAUGCACUAUCAUUAGUGCUGGUGUGGUUUAUUCACCAAAUGUUUGUAGUGUUUGGGGAAGGUGUGAUUUGAGAUAGUUCAUACAGUUUCAUCCAGAGCUUUUCACUGUUAGAAAGUGAGCUGAUGUUUUGUGUUAGCUGCAUGAUGUCAGAUUCACAGGUUGCAGAAAUAUUUUCAUGCCUUCUGGACCUCAUGCAGGGAGCUCAGGUUGCAUGGUAUUAAGUGCAGUUUUGACUCUGCAGAACUUUGUGAAAUGUAGUUAUAUAAUCAACUACAUGAUUUACACCCCCCCCCACAACAUUAUUGGUAAAUUUUAAGAAGCUUAAAUAGUUUUUCAGCAUUUUUUACCCACUUGCCGACAGUUGUGGGGUCAACUAGAUUUCUGACCCAAACUGAGAUUAAAUGUGCUCAUCAUGCUGGUUAUAUAACUCAAUACCCUGGAAUCCCAGCCCUAAUAAUUCUUCUCUUUAUUUUGCUGUUUAUUUCCCUUAUUCUGCCCAAGUGAACACAUUAUAUCUGACAUUUUUGUUUUUGGAAGGAGGCAGUAAGCAUGUGUAUUUGGGAAGCGACCCACUGAGAGUAAUGAAUUUGGACACCGGAGUGUAUGUGUUGCAGAAGUGGGCGUGUGUCGCAGGCGAGCCUGAAGAUCUGGUUGGGUAAGAGCUGGGCUGUAUAAAAAGGCGGAGCGCAGCGCAGAAGCUCUCUCUCUGGUUCAGGUUCUUCUCUGUUUGGCAUCUGUUAGGAGUUUCUUCUGUCAUUUUUUUCCCUGUUGGUGGAAGCAGAAGAUCCCAUAGUUGGGACUGUAGUGAUCCUUUCUUCCUUUUUGCAGACGGUGAGAAGUCCAUCUGUUUUCAUAAUCAGCUCUUGACUUGAGGAGUACCAAAACAAAACUUGGAAUAACAAUUUUUUUCUAUAAAGGGUGUAACUCCACAGGUCCUGAACCACCCCGGGGGUUCACUGAUCCAUCAUUUCAGGAAACAUGAUCAUCAGACUGGGCAGGCUCACACCUGGAUACUUCCGCCUUCUCCAGAGGCAGGUCGCUGGUGAGGUCCAAACGCAGCCGCAUGACCGCACCGUCAACCAGAUCGCCAUGAUGCUGGCCAUCAUGGGUCUGAGUCUGUCCUACUACAGUGCCAAACAAAUGACAGAGAAGGUCCAAGUCCAGCCUGCAGCCUGAAGAGGCUCGGUCGCUCCAGAAUCUGGAGAUGACAGAUGAACCAAUGAGAACCGGAGGAAGAAACGGAAGUAAAGGGAGGAAGAAAGGCACGGUGGUGUGUCUCGGGACAGCACUUUUCUCACCUUAGUCGUCAAUCACACCCUUCCACUGACUUCCUGGGAUCCUUCACACAUCACCAGCAGAACUUUCAGGGUCAAAUAAAAAAUAAUUCCCAUUUUCUGGUGCCAGGACCUUCAACAAUUUGGGAGAUUUACUUAUCUGGGGUCAUGGGGAGAACUGGUUUUAGUCUGUGGAAACCAGCUCACUGCCAAACGAGUCUGAGCAUUAGUCAUUACAAAGGUGCAUGCUUGCAGGAUGCCAUCAGUGCUAUAAAAAGGAGAAAAACUUUCACUGUGAAACAAAUUUUGUCCAAAAAGGGUUAUAUUUUCUGAAUUCUCCUUUUUAAGGGAUGGCUGACUGAGCUGUGCCUCCAGAUGAAGUGAUGGCAGACCCAGAACAAGACUAAAAGGGGAUGAUACGUUACCUUUAAUCCUUUUGACUUUUUUGUUUUUUGUUCCUCUUCCAGAAUUUUAUAGAGCCUCAGAACAGAUCAGAAUCUGUGAUGUCGGUCUAUAUGCCAGCUGUGUCUGUCAGUAAAUAUUUGCACAAAACUAUCGAAACCUUUUGAAAUGCUAAAGUGGAAUCUGCAAAGGGACUCCAAAGUAUUCACUGUUUAAUGUGUGUUUUCAUUGUUUUAACAAUUCACAAGUCCUCUGUGUGUGACUGUUGAUGAGAGCCUUUCUUGCAGGAUCUACAAAUGCUAGUGCAAUUGUGAAAUGUUAGUGAAAUGCAUGUACAUGUAGAAAUGUAAUCAUUGCAAUCUUCACUAGUCUUGUUUUUUUUUUAUUGAUGAAUGAAUGUUUCACUUUAUUUUUGCAAUGAUUUAAUAAAGCUGUGAAUAUUUUAAGAGA